AUCCGCCCGAGGCGCUCUGUGGGGGCGGCCUCGACCUCCCCGCCGUUCCUCCCCGCGGAGCACCAGACCCGGGGCCGACGGCCGCGGGGCGGACAGCUUCUCUCUCGGGGCCGGGAUGCGCUGAGCACCUCGGUCCAACCUGUUUUUCCGGGGUGGUGACCUCGACGCGAAGGACCGGGCGAGCUGCUGCCUCCCGGGGGAUACCAGCCCCCGGCGCUCGUUCAAGGAGGGAGGAAGGAAGGGCUCCCAUCGUGUUUGCGCAGGAGUGAGUUUUAUUUGCUGCAUCUGCGGGCGGGCGGGGCCGGCGGCCCCAAGGUCAGCCGAGGCCGGAGUGCGCGGCUCGCGGCGAGGCCGGUCCCGCCGCCGCCGCCGACUCCCAGCCCGGGCCAGUCACGGCCGGCGCCGGCUCGCGGGCAGCCCAGUAGCGCGGCCUGGCUGAAGAAGACAUCCCUGGCCGCGCAGGCCCCGCGCCCCUCACACCCGCCCGGCCCGCUCCCAGAUACCUUCUUCAGCUCGUUCUCGCUGGCGCCGGGCGGGACGCCCAGGAUGUCGUACAGCUUCGUGUCAGCCACGUUAGCCAUGGCGGCCGGCCGGGCAGUGCUCGGGGAGAAGGUGGCGAAGCAGACAGAGCGGAGUCGGGCCCACAAGCGGCGUCGGCGGCGGCACAGGCCGAGGGAGACAGCGAGGGGGAAGCGGGGGCGGGGCUGAACUUUGACCCAGCGCACGGUGCGCCGUGACGUCGCUGUGCAGAGCCCGCCCCCGAGCGCCCGAGGCGCGGCCACUGGGGUCGAAGUAUUGAAGAGUGGGCCAGGUUCUCUGUUUUCCUCCAGGUCCAGGCGGCUGGGCAGGGCCAACGUAGGAAAUGAAGAACUGUGCACGGCGCACCCCAGGAAUUCAGCUUCCUCUCAAAAGCCAUGGUUGCGAGGUCGCGUGUUUAACCUCGCACUGGCUGCUGAGGGAAUUAACAGGCCUGCGCAGCAGCUUCGUUAGCUUCGAAAGAAAAUGGGCCCCGGCUCCCGCAGGAGGCCCGCCUGGCGCGCAGAUGUCGUUAUUAGAAUCCGGGACGUCGGUGGACCCUCUGGGUCUGGCUCCCUCGGGGCUUACGAUGAAAAAAACUGGGGGGCGCGUGUGUGUGUAUGUUGUGUUUUAUAUUAUGAGAAUUCUGAAACAUUUAGCAGAAGCAGUAUAUUACUCCCCAUAGUGCAGUUAGCUACCUUUUACCUGUUUCAUUGGCUCCACCAUACAUUUCUAGUGUUUUAAGGGAAACCGUUUCAUUCAUAAAUACCCUAAGUGUAUAUAUUUAAUAUCUAAGAGACAACUUUUAAAGGCAUAACGAUGUAAUCUCAUCUAAUGAAAUUAACAAUUCCUUAAUCUAAUUCCCAGUCCAUAUUUAGGUUUUUCAGAUGAUCUCAUGUCCUUUUACAAUUGGUUUGUGGCAUCCGGGUCCAAACCAAGGUCCACAUGUUGCAUCUGGACCACGUGUUUAAGCCUCUUACUUGAUAGCUUUAAAAUUAGCUAACACCAGAGGUUUAGAUGGUGUAAGGCAAGUCUGGCCACCAGGUGACUUGAUUUACAUUCGUUUUAGUUUCGCUCAGAAAGUAUGCUGUGCAUCUACCAAGUGCUAUGAUGUACAGAGGCCUGGUCCGGGGAGAGGAGUGUUACAAAAGUGCCUGCCUUCAACCCAUUUACGGUUUAUGGAGACAGAAAAGUAAGGUUUUCUGAUCCCUUGGAACCUGAACUGAUAGCAAAGACUUCAGCAUAAGCAUCUCACUCAGGAUAAUGUUUCUUCCUUGGCGUUCCCUUUGACCUAGUUGUGGAGGGCCUGAAUUCCAUGACAAGGACUCUGAAAUUUAGCUUGAAAACCCUAAGAGUAAUCAGUGAUAAGUCAUUAAUAGUCCUUAAACCCUUUUCCUCAAAUCCCAUCUGAAAUCCUGCUCCCUCUGUGAAGUCUUCCUUUACUGGGCACUGGUGAACACUGCUAUCUCAUUCGAGUUCCCACCACCCUUCGUUUGUACCUUUUGUGGUAGGAUCUCGAACUCUUUUGUUUUUUUUUUUUUUUUUUUUUUUUUACUUGAAACAGCGUCUCGUUAUGUCGCUCAGGCUGGAGUGCAGUGGCGCCAUCUCAGCUCGCUGCAACCUCCACCUCCCGGCUUCAAGUGAUUCUCCCACCUCAGCCUCUCGAGUAGCUGGGAUUACAGGCGCCCACCACCAUGCCCGGCUAAUUUUUGUAUUUUUAGUAGAGGUGGAGCUUCACCAUGUUGACCAGGCUGGUCUCGAACUCCUGAUCUCAAAUCAUCCACCCACCUUGGCCUCCCAAAGUGCUGGGAUUGCAGGCCUGAGCCACUGCCUCUGCCAACCGCCAUUGCCGUGUAAAUGCUGACGUCAUCCUCAUGCACGGCUGUAAAAUCCAAUUCUCUACUUUUCACAUUUUGAGAUGUUCGUAAGAGACGGUGUAAAGUUAUGGCGAGGUUAGACUGUGUAGGUUGGUAGUCUGACUCUGCCAUUUAGGAACAAUGUGACCUUCAGCAAGUUACUUAACUUUUCUGAGGUUUCCUCAGGUGUAAGAUGGGGCUUGUUAUUUUUUAUAUCAUUGGUUUAAAAGAGUUAUACAUUUCUAUUACUUAGGGCUGGGCGCAGUGGCCUGUAAUCCCAGAACUUUGGGAGGCUGAGGCGGGAUCACUCCUGCCUCAAGUCCUGAUCACUUGAGGUCAGGAGUUCGAGACCAGCCUGGUCAACAUGGCAAGACCCCGUCUCUAUUAAAAACACAAAAAUUAGCUGGGGGUGGUUGCGCACGCCUGUAGUCCCAGCUACUCGGGAGGCUGAGGUGGGAGAAUCCCUUGAGCCCAGGAGGUGGGGGUUGCAGUGAGCCAAGAUCACACCACUGCACUCCAGCCUGGGUGACAGAGUGAGACCCUGUCUCAAAAUAAUAAUAAAUAAUUAAAAUUUAAAAAAUUACUAAGAAGCUAAAAGAAAUUAAGUAUAAACUAUUGUUCUUGGCCCAUAUGCUUACGUUGUCUUUGCUCAUUUAAAUUUCUGGCUUUUCUACUGGGAUUCCCUGACUUCUUCCAUUACCUAUGGGGAAUGCCCCUCCGUCCCUUUUCAUGACCUCAUCUUCCCAAAUCUCCUUGCUUGUCAGUUAUCAUUUUCUCUCGUCUCAUUUCUCUGUUAGUUCCUGCUCCACGUAAGAAUAUGAACUGAAAAUCUGUCUUUGUUGCAACCUUCAUAUUAAUUUAUCUUAUUUGUUUCAUAUUGUUUUAUCUUAUUUUCCUUCUGCCCAUGAACAGUUUAAAAGGGCUGGAGUUUCCUAUUUGUUUCAGUUUUACUCAGUUUUUUUUUUUGCAAGAGGAAAAAAUUCUCUCUUGAUGCCAUUUUAGCUUCUGAUAUUGUAAUGAAGAGUAGCUGGGUAAAUUCCCUCUUUUGUUCUUGUUAUUUUAUUUUAGUUUUUUACCUGACUAGACCAGUAACCACAGUAACUAUUUUUGAAUUUCAUUUUCAUUUCUUUGCAAUAUUUUCUCCAUUUCUGGGUAUUAAUUGUAGUCAGCAUAAUUUGCUAAUUUUAUAGCUCGAGUUAUUUCAGAAGAACUUUGUGUGCUUAAACUGACACAGGGUCUCCUCCCAAGGAUCACAGACUGAGAUAAACCUGUGUCAGUGUGAGCACUGUAAUGUUCCAGCCACUAACUGUUUUGAGGUAGCAUAUUUAUUUUGGCUUCAUGUUUAGCCAAUGCUGUGAAGGGAAAAGGACCUUUAUCUCAUUUCAUGUCUCAGGCACUGUAAAAUGCUGAGUCACAGUACACCUGAGCGCUGCAGUGAUCUAAAGUUUGAGGCGGCAGUGAUUUCAGAUUUCUGCCAGGCUUAUAUUGGUGUUCAAUUCCUUUGCUUUGAUUUAGUAUGCUUGUGUAACUGUGAAGGGUUGGGAUGGAGAGGAGGUGGAUAUGGACUGGGACGGGGGGUAUAGGAACUGUAGUAUUUUUGAAGACCAUUGAUACUGUUCACAAGUAAUUGGGAACUGUGUAAUCCAUUACUUAGACAACUCCAGAUAUAUCAUUGAGGCAGUCAGAAAAUAGUUUUGCUUUCUGCUUUAACUAGGUUUGAAUGUAUAGAGUAAGUGAUGCAGGUUAAAAUAUUUUGGGGGGAUACAGAAGAAGGUACUGAUGGUUCUUGUUAUGAGGGUGUCAGGACCACAUAAUUUGAUGAUUGUUGGUACUCUGGAAAGAAAAAAUUGUGGGACUUGGAUCACUGAAUAAUCUCUGAAUUUCUUUCAGUGCUUAAAGUAGAUUAUUCAGUGAUGGGGCAGCACAGUUGUAUGUGGUAGGUAUUUCUAGCCCCACUGCUGGCCUUUCAAACCCAGUCGUGUCAAACCCUGCCUUAUUAAUUAGCAUUUUCCAAAGGUUCAGUUUGCUUAUAUAAUUGCAGUGGUAUAGUAAGCAGAGAAAUUGACCCAAUAAAUUUAGCCAUCUAACAAUUAGUGUGGGAAAAAUAGUGGAGAAGAUAUGUCUAUUGUGAUAAUAUGAGAUAUGAAUAUGAAUAUAUAUGUUUUCCACAUAUAUGUGUAUAUAUAUACACACACCUCAUUACCACUGUAAUAUAUAUAUAAUAUAUACAUAAUAUACAUAAAGGCCAGGCGUGGUGGCUUAUGCGCGUAAUCCCAGCACUUUGGGAGGCCAAGGUGGGUGGAUCACGAGGUCAGGAGAUCGAGACCAUCCUGGCUAACACGGUGAAACCCCGUCUCUACUAGAAAUACAAAAAAUUAGCCGGGCGUGGUGGUGGGCACCUGUAGUCCCAGCUACUUGGGAGGCUGGGGCAGGAGAAUGGCGUGAACCCGGGAGGCCAAGCUUGCAGUGAGCGGAGAUCGCACCACUGCACUCCAGCUUGGGCAACAGAGCGAGACUCCAUCUCAAAAAAAAAAUUCGAUUAGCCUGGACAACAUAGCAAGACCCGUCUCUACAAAAAUUUUUUAAAAUUAGCUGGGGCUGGGGAGUGGUGGCUCAUACCUGUAAUCCCAGCACUUCAAGAGGCCGAGGUGGUAGGAUAAUUUGAGACCAGCCUGGGCAACAUAGCGAGUUGUUUUUUUUUUUUUUUUUUGAGACGGAAUCUCACUCUGUCACCCAGGCUGGAGUGCAGUGGCACGAUCUUGGCUCACUGCAAUCUCUGCCUCCCAGGUUCAAGUGAUUAUCCUGCCUCAGCCUCCCGAGUAGCUGGAACUACAGGUGUUUGCCACCAUGCUGGGCAAAUUUUUUGUAUUUCUAGUAGAGAUGGGGUUUCACCAUGUUGGCCAGGCUGGUCUCGAACUCCUGACCUCAAGUGAUCUGCCUGCCUCGGCCUCCCAAAGUGCUAAGAUUACAGGUGUGAGCCACUAUGCCCGGCCCGCAAGAUCUUAUCUCUAAAAAAAAGAAGAAAGAAAAAAUUAGCUGGGUGUUGUGCACCUGUCAUCCUAGCUAUUUGAGAGGCUCAGGUGGGAGAAUCACUUGAGCCCGAGAGUUGAAAGUUACAGUGAACUAUGAUUGUGCCACUGCCCUCCAUCCUGGGUGACAGAGUGAGACCCUAUCUUUAAAAAAAUAUAUUUUUAAUUAUGAGAAGAGAAGGAAUUAUCUGACCUAUCUUGUCUGAUUGUAGGUCAUGAGACUUCCAUUUCUGAAGGGGUCCUGUUCCAUAUCCUCAAGAAGGGAGUGCUGCACAGAGAGGCCAUGAGGAAUCUAAGCAGACAGGCCUUGCUGGGUUUCCCCACUCAGUCUGUUAAUAUUAGAUCAUACCUUUUUGUCCAGUCACAUUUUUACAUGGUUGUCAAUUAUGCCUGUCCAGUAAAGUCUCCAUAAAAGGCCCAAGAAGACAGAGUUGGAGUUCCUGGAUAGCUGAACAUGUGGAGGUUCCUGGAGGGUGGGGCACCUGGGCAUAAAAGCUCUGAGCCCCUUCCCUCAUACCUUGCUCUGUGCAUCCCUCCAUCUGUAUCCUUUGUAACAUUCCUUAUAAUAAAUUGGUAAAUGUGUUUCCCAGAGUCCUGUGAGCCACUGUAGCAAAAUUAAUCAAACCCAAGGAAGGGUUCAUGGGAACCCUAAUUUCUAUUCAGCUGGUCAGAGACACAGGUGAAACAACCUGGGGCUUGCUAUUGGUAUCAGAAGUGAGGCGACUGAGCCCUCAACCUGUGGGAUCUGAUGCUACCAAGUAGAUAGUGUCAGAAUUGAGUUGGAGGUCACCUACCUGGUGUCUACUGUAUAAUUGAUUGCUUGCUUGUUGGUGGGGAGAAAUCCCCACAUAUUUGGUCACAGAAGUCUUCUGUGUUAAUUGAGUGCGAGAAUCUGAAUCUGAGUUUUUUUCACUUAUCUAUAGAUUCAUUCAUUCAACAAAUAUGUGUUGUGGACCCUCCUAUGUGGCAGGCACUGUUUGGUAGGAUAGGGGACAGCCAUAAACGAAACAAAAUCGCUGCCUUUACAGAAUGUACAUCUAGUGGGGAAGGCAGGCAGUAAAUAAGUAAAUACAUAGCAUAUCAGAUGGUAUUAUGUGCUGUAGAGAAAACGAGAGUAUUGGGGUUGGGAACAAUUUUUAUUUAAGGUGUUUGAGGAAGGUGACAUUUGAACAGUGAUCUAGAGGAAGCAGGGCCUUGAGGAUAUGUGAGAAAACAAUUGCUGAGGCAGUGGGCCUGCAAAGGCCCUAAGGCAGAGCAUGCCUGGUUUGUUAGAGGAAGGAGGCCAGUAUGACUGGGUAGCAGCAAGGUAGGGAGAUCUUGGAAAGAGCUCACAUCAGAGAGGUUGUCGGGGACUCAAUCAGGUCCACUAUAAAGACUUUGAUGUUUACUCUGAGUGAGCUGGGAAGCUGUUAAAGGGUUUUGGUUUUUUUGUUUUUUGUUUUUUUUUUUUUGAGAUAGAGUCUUGCUCUGUCACCCAGACUGAAGUGCAAUGGCGCCAUCUCCACUCAUUGCACCCUCCACUUCCUGGGCUCAAGUGAUUCUCCAGCCUCAGCCUCUUGAGUAGCUGGGACUAUAGGCAUGUACCACCAAUGCCUGGCUAAUUUUUAUAUUUUUUGUAGAGACAGGGUUUUGCCGUGUUGCCCAGGCUGGUCUCGAAACUCCUAAGCUCAAAGUGAUCCGCCUGCUUCAGCCCCACAAAAUGCUGGGAUUACAUGUGUUAGCCACCACUCCUGGCUAUGCUAUUAAAGGAUUUUGAUUAGAGGAGAGACAUAAGUGCAUUUUAAACACAUCAUUCUGUUAGCUGUGUUGAGAACCUAUUGUAAUAAAACCUAGGUGAGAGGUGACUUGGGCCAAGAUAGAAGAUGUUGAGUUGGUGAGGAAUCGGCUUCUGGAUAUAUUUUCACCUUUGAACUGAUAGAAUUAGAUGUUGGGCAGAAAUGAGGGCAGGGUGAAAAUAAAAGUUCAUGUUAAUUUAUUAACAUUCAAGGAAAUAUUUUUUAAAUUAAAUUUAUUUUUGAGACAAGGUCUCACUGUAUCACUCAGGCUGGAGUACAGUGGCAAGAUCAAAGCUCACUGCAGCCUCAAACUCCUUAGCUCAAGCAGUCCUCCCACCUCAACCUCCUGAGUUGUGUGCCAACUCACACUUGGCUAAUAUUUUUAUUUUUUGUAGAGACAGGGUCUUGCUCUGUUGCCCAGGCUGGUCUCAAACUCGUACGGUUUUUUGUUUUGUUUUUUUUUUUUUUAUGAGACAGAGUUUCGCUCUUGUCGCCCAUGCUGGAGUGGAAUGGUGUGGUCUCGGCUCACUGCAACCUCCACCUCCCGGGCUCAAGCGAUUCUCCUGCCUCAGCCUCCCAAGUAGUGGGGAUUACAGGCACCUGCCACCAUGCCUGGCUGAUUUUUGUAAUUUUUUAGUAGAGAUGGGGUUUCACCAUGUUGGCCAGGCUGGUCUUGAACUCCAGACCUCAGGUGAUUUGCCCACUUCGGCCUCCCAAAGUGCUGGGAUACAGGUGUGAGCCACUGUGCCCGGUCCAAUGUUUUAAUGUAUGUAUAAUAUACAUUGUGGAAUGAUUAUACCAAACUGACAUAUCCAUCACCUUACAUACUUAUUUUUUUUGUAGUGAGAACAUUUAAAAUCUGUUCUUUUAGCAAUUUUAAAAUAUACAAUACAUUAUUGUUGACUACGGUUACCAUGUUGUGCAACAGAUCUUAAAACAUUAUCUUCCUGUCAAACUGAAAGUGUACACUUUGGUCAACAUCUCCUCAUUCCUCCUCUCCUCACAGCCUCUGAUAACCACAACUAUACUUCCAUAAGAUUUUUAGAUCCCAUAUGUAAGCAAGAUCAUGUGGUAUUUGUCUUUCUGUGCCUGGCUUAUUUCACUUAGCAUAAUGUUCUCCAGGUUCAAUUCUUUUGUUACAAAUGACCAAAUUUCCCUCUUUUUUGUCCGGGUGUGGUGGCUCACGCCUGUAAUCCCAGCACUUUGGGAGGCCAAGGAGGCUGAUCACCUGAGGUCAGGAGUUCAAGACCAGCCUGGCCAACACAGUGAAACCCCAUCUCUACUAAAAAUAAAAAAAUUAGGCCGGGUGUAGUGGCUCAGGCUUCUAAACCCAGCACUUUGGGAGGCCGAGGCAUGUGGAUCACCUGAAGUCAGGAGUUUGUGUCCAGCCUGGCCAACACGGUGAAACCUUGUCUCUACUAAAAAUACAAAAAUUAGCUGGGCAUGGUGGCACACUUCUGUAAUCCCAGCUACUCGGGGGGCUGAGGCAGGAGAAUCGCUUGAACCUGGCAGAGGUUGCAGUGAGCCGAGAUUGCGCCACUGCACUCCAGUCUGGGUGACAGAGCAAGACUCCAUCUCAGGAAAAACAAAACAAAACAAAAAAAUUAUCCGGUUGUGGUGGCAUGUGCCUGUAAACCCAGCUACUUGGUAGGCUGAGGCAGGAGAAUCGCUUGACCCUGGGAGACAGAGGUUGCAGUGAGCUGUGAUUGCAUCACUGCGCUCCAGCCUGGGCAACAGAGCAAGACUCCAUCUCAAAAACAAGGCAGAAUUUCCCUCUUAUUAAUAACUGAAUAGUAUUCCAGUGUGUGUGUGUGUGUGUGUGUGUGUGUGUGUGUGUGUGUAUCACAUUUUCUUUUCCAUUCAUCCAUUGAUGGACACUUAGGUUGGUUCCAUGUCUUGGCUAUUCUGAAUAAUGCUUCAGUGAACAUAGGAGUGCAGACAUCUCAUUGACAUACUGAUUUCAGUUCUUUUGGAUAUACACCCAGAAGUGGGAUUACUGGGUCUUAUGGUAGUUCUGUUUUUAGUUUUUUGAGGAACAUCCAUGCUGUUCUCCAUAGUGGCUGUACUAAUUUACAUUCCUACCAACAGUGUGCAAGGGUUUGCUUUUGUCCACAUCCUUGCCAACUCGUUAUUGGAUAAAUAUUAAGCAGUUUGAUUUUUUUUUUCCAUUGCCCUGGCUGGAGUACAAUGGUGCAAUCAUAGCUCACCGCAGCCUCAAACUCCUGGGCUCAAGCAGUCCUCCUACCUCGGCCUCCCAAAGUGUUGGGAUUACAGCCACUGCACUCAGCCAAGCAGCUGGGCUUGUAAGAAUAGAGUUGAAAGGGGCAGGUGUUCAAACUGGAGAUGUAAAUUUGGGAAUCCCCUCAACAUAUUGCCAGUGUAUAAAGAAGUAAGACCUAGGACAGUUCACUGACUGCUCAUCAGAACCCCUAGGGGAACUUUUAAAAAUGCUAUUUUCUGGGUCUGUCCUCCCAGAAAUCGUGACCGAAUUGAUCUGAGGUAAGGUGAGGGCAUUGUAUUUUUUUAAAUAGUCUAAGGUUAUCCUAUAUUUGAACAUUUUUGAAAAAAAAUUUUGCACAUGAAGAACACAUGAUGUUGUUCUGACAUACAGUCUUUAAAAUAUUUAUUUUUUUUUUGAGACGGAGUUUCGCUCUUGCUCAGGCUGGAGUGCAAUGGUACGAUCUCGGCUCACUGCAACCUCUGCCUCCCAGGUUCAAGCAGUUCUCCUGCCUCAGUCUCCCGAGUAGCUGGGAUUACAGGCAUGUGCCACCACGCCCUACUAAUUUUGUGUUUUUAGUAGAGAUGGGGUUUCUCCAUGUUGGUCAUGCUGGUCUCAAACUCCUGACCUCAGGUGAUCCACCCGCCUCGGCCUCCCAAAGUGCUGGGAUUACAGGUGUGAGCCACCGUGCCCUGC
rnacentral:lncRNA from 1 species